UGUGGUGGUCAUAGCGCCUAGGACACGCCCAGUCCCAUCCCGAACCUGGAAGCUAAGCUAGGCAACGCUGAUGGUACUACGCCCCAACGAGCGCGGGAGAGUAAGAAACCACCACAA
rfam:Varibaculum cambriense DORA_20 Q618_VCMC00001, whole genome shotgun sequence.